GACCAGACUCCUACGGGAGGCAGCAGUGGGGAAUAUUGCACAAUGGGGGAAACCCUGAUGCAGCGACGCCGCGUGAGCGAUGAAGUAUUUCGGUAUGUAAAGCUCUAUCAGCAGGGAAGAAGAUGACGGUACCUGACUAAGAAGCCCCGGCUAACUACGUGCCAGCAGCCGCGGUAAUACGUAGGGGGCAAGCGUUAUCCGGAUUUACUGGGUGUAAAGGGAGCGUAGACGGCGAUGCAAGCCAGAUGUGAAAGCCCGGGGCUCAACCCCGGGACUGCUCUUGGAACUGCGCGGCUGGAGUGCAGGAGGGGCAGGCGGAAUUCCUGGUGUAGCGGUGAAAUGCGUAGAUAUCAGGAGGAACACCGGCGGCGAAGGCGGCCUGCUGGACCGUGACUGACGUUGAGGCUCGAGAGCGUGGGGAGCAAACAGGAUUAGAUACCCCAGUA
rnacentral:rRNA from 1 species